rnacentral:rRNA from 1 species
CAGUCGAACGCUGAAGCUUGGUGCUUGCACUGGGUGGAUGAGUGGCGAACGGGUGAGUAAUACGUGAGUAACCUGCCCUUGACUCUGGGAUAAGCCUGGGAAACUGGGUCUAAUACUGGAUACGACAUGUCACCGCAUGGUGGUGUGUGGAAAGGGUUUUACUGGUUUUGGAUGGGCUCACGGCCUAUCAGCUUGUUGGUGGGGUAAUGGCUCACCAAGGCGACGACGGGUAGCCGGCCUGAGAGGGUGACCGGCCACACUGGGACUGAGACACGGCCCAGACUCCUACGGGAGGCAGCAGUGGGGAAUAUUGCACAAUGGGCGAAAGCCUGAUGCAGCGACGCCGCGUGAGGGAUGACGGCCUUCGGGUUGUAAACCUCUUUCAGCACGGAAGAAGCGAAAGUGACGGUACGUGCAGAAGAAGCGCCGGCUAACUACGUGCCAGCAGCCGCGGUAAUACGUAGGGCGCAAGCGUUGUCCGGAAUUAUUGGGCGUAAAGAGCUCGUAGGCGGUUUGUCGCGUCUGCUGUGAAAGCCCGGGGCUUAACCCCGGGUGUGCAGUGGGUACGGGCAGACUUGAGUGCAGUAGGGGAGACUGGAAUUCCUGGUGUAGCGGUGAAAUGCGCAGAUAUCAGGAGGAACACCGAUGGCGAAGGCAGGUCUCUGGGCUGUUACUGACGCUGAGGAGCGAAAGCAUGGGGAGCGAACAGGAUUAGAUACCCUGGUAGUCCAUGCCGUNNNCGUUGGGCACUAGGUGUGGGGAACAUUCCACGUUUUCCGCGCCGUNNCUAACGC